rnacentral:rRNA from 1 species
AACGAGCGCUGGCGGCAUGCCUAACACAUGCAAGUCGAACGAGACCUUCGGGUCUAGUGGCGCACGGGUGCGUAACGCGUGGGAACCUGCCCUUAGGUUCGGAAUAACUCCCCGAAAGGGGUGCUAAUACCGGAUAAUGUCUUCGGACCAAAGAUUUAUCGCCUUUGGAUGGGCCCGCGUUGGAUUAGCUAGUUGGUAGGGUAAAAGCCUACCAAGGCGACGAUCCAUAGCUGGUCUGAGAGGAUGAUCAGCCACGCUGGGACUGAGACACGGCCCAGACUCCUACGGGAGGCAGCAGUGGGGAAUAUUGGACAAUGGGCGAAAGCCUGAUCCAGCAAUGCCGCGUGAGUGAUGAAGGCCUUAGGGUUGUAAAGCUCUUUUACCCGGGAUGAUAAUGACAGUACCGGGAGAAUAAGCUCCGGCUAACUCCGUG